AUUUAAACCCCCUCAACCCUCAAUAUGCAAGAUGCAAACCACCUCCGGCCGAACAUUUCCAUCCGACGACUACCGUCCGACAAUGGCAGUGGUUGUUGUUCAUAGAUUUUAAUGCUUCGUUGAUGGAUUUCUUGAUUUGCCAUUGAGCCAUAUGCUUUCUUUGUGACCUUACCUAUGUGUGUGAACCAGGUUUGGCAAGCUUAUAUUUGCAUCUGAAGGCAAAACAUGAAUUUUGGAUCUCAUUAAGAAUAAUUUGUAUUGAGUGACUAUGAUGAUCACGAGAAGUUACAAAGAGGUGCGUUGGAUUAUCAAACGGUACAGUUGGAGUGGAAAACUAAACAUGCUAUGUUGGAGAAGAUUGAAGACAAAUAUUCACCAACUUAAUAUAUGUUGAAAUUCAUUGUAGUAUUUGGAUAAUGUGUAUUUUAUUGUGUUAUAAAUUGCUGUUAAAAAAAUAGUUAGAGAAAUUGAUAUCUUAUUUUAUUUGGUUUGGA